GACGAACGCUGGCGGCGUGCUUAACACAUGCAAGUCGAACGGAAAGGCCCUGCUUUUGUGGGGUGCUCGAGUGGCGAACGGGUGAGUAACACGUGAGUAACCUGCCCUUGACUUUGGGAUAACUUCAGGAAACUGGGGCUAAUACCGGAUAGGAGCUCCUGCUGCAUGGUGGGGGUUGGAAAGUUUCGGCGGUUGGGGAUGGACUCGCGGCUUAUCAGCUUGUUGGUGGGGUAGUGGCUUACCAAGGCUUUGACGGGUAGCCGGCCUGAGAGGGUGACCGGCCACAUUGGGACUGGGAUACGGCCCAGACUCCUACGGGAGGCAGCAGUGGGGAAUAUUGCACAAUGGGCAGAAGCCUGAUGCAGCAACGCCGCGUGCGGGAUGACGGCCUUCGGGUUGUAAACCGCUUUCGCCUGUGACGAAGCGUGAGUGACGGUAAUGGGUAAAGAAGCACCGGCUAACUACGUG
rnacentral:rRNA from 1 species